UGUGCAGAGGGCAACAGCAGGUUGUGCGUCUCUGUCAGAGACUACUACUGUUACAUGCUGCAGACACGGCCUGCGAUCUUUAAUCCCAUACUCUGUGGAGCACGCCUCUUGCAGCAAUGGGCCGUCGACAUGUACGUCAAGAUUGAAAGUUGUCGGUUAAGGUGGUACAGGAAGAACCAAACGCAGAUUCGUGCCGACUUGUAUAAAGGAGUUGUUGAUGCGAUCACAUCGGGGGAGACACGAGCAAGCGCUGUUGGGGUAAGAAUAGUUCUCCCUGGAACAUACCCUGGUGGCGACCGCGACAUGAAGAAGAGGCAUAUGGAUGCCAUGGCAAUUGUACAUACAUACGGGAAGCCUGACAUCUUCUUGACCAUGACUUGCAAUCCAAAAUGGGAAGAGAUAACGAAUGAGUUGCUGCCUGGUCAGACGGCGCAAGACCGACCUGAUAUUGUGGCUCGCGUGUUCUUUGGCAAACUAGAGGCUAUGAAGGACAUGUUGUUCAAGAAGCACAUCCUGGGUGUUGUUGUCGCAUAUGUAUAUGUU
rnacentral:rRNA from 1 species